UACGUAGGGGGCAAGCGUUGUCCGGAUUUAUUGGGCGUAAAGCGCUCGCAGGUGGUUCGUCGCGUCGUGCGUGAAAGACCCCGGCUCAACUGGGGGAGGUCGUGCGAUACUGCCGGGCUAGAGUCCGGAAGAGGCGAGUGGAACUCCUGGUGUAGCGGUGGAAUGCGCAGAUAUCAGGAAGAACACCAACGGCGAAGGCAGCUCGCUAGGACGGUACUGACGCUGAGACGCGAAAGCGUGGGGAGCGAACAGG
rnacentral:rRNA from 1 species